AAAACGACUCUCGGCAACGGAUAUCUAGGCUCUAGCAUCGAUGAAGAACGUAGCGAAAUGCGAUACUUGGUGUGAAUUGCAGAAUCCCGUGAACCAUCGAGUUUUUGAACGCAAGUUGCGCCCGAAGCCAUUAGGCCGAGGGCACGCCUGCCUGGGCGUCACG
rnacentral:rRNA from 1 species